rnacentral:rRNA from 1 species
AUUGAACGCUGGCGGCAGGCCUAACACAUGCAAGUCGAGCGGCAGCGGGAAAGUAGCUUGCUACUUUUGCCGGCGAGCGGCGGACGGGUGAGUAAUGCCUGGGAAAUUGCCCAGUCGAGGGGGAUAACAGUUGGAAACGACUGCUAAUACCGCAUACGCCCUACGGGGGAAAGCAGGGGACCUUCGGGCCUUGCGCGAUUGGAUAUGCCCAGGUGGGAUUAGCUAGUUGGUGAGGUAAUGGCUCACCAAGGCGACGAUCCCUAGCUGGUCUGAGAGGAUGAUCAGCCACACGGGAACUGAGACACGGGCCAGACUCCUACGGGAGGCAGCAGUGGGGAAUAUUGCACAAUGGGGGAAACCCUGAUGCGGCCAUGCCGCGUGUGUGAAGAAGGCCUUCGGGUUGUAAAGCACUUUCAGCGAGGGGGAAAGGUUGAUGCCUAAUACGUAUCAACUGUGACGUUACUCGCAGAAGAAGCACCGGCUAACUCCGUGCCAGCAGCCGCCGUAACAC